rnacentral:rRNA from 1 species
ACGAACGCUGGCGGCGCGCCUAACCCAUGCAAGUCGAACGAGCGAGAGAGAGCUUGCUUUCUUGAGCGAGUGGCGAACGGGUGAGUAGCGCGUGAGGAACCUGCCUCAAAGAGGGGGACAACAGUUGGAAACGACUGCUAAUACCGCAUAAGCCCACGGUGCCGCGUGGCACAGAGGGAAAAGGAGCAAUCCGCUUUGAGAUGGCCUCGCGUCCGAUUAGCUAGUUGGUGAGGUAACGGCCCACCAAGGCGACGAUCGGUAGCCGGACUGAGAGGUUGAACGGCCACAUUGGGACUGAGACACGGCCCAGACUCCUACGGGAGGCAGCAGUGGGGAAUAUUGCACAAUGGGGGAAACCCUGAUGCAGCGACGCCGCGUGGAGGAAGAAGGUCUUCGGAUUGUAAACUCCUGUUGUUGGGGAAGAUAAUGACGGUACCCAACAAGGAAGUGACGGCUAACUACGUG